GGAGGGGGCUGUUGUUC
rnacentral:miRNA from 1 species